AGACAGUGAGGAGGAGGAGGAGGAGGAGGAGGAGGAGUAUUUUGGGGAAAGUUUGGUCUCUUUCCUGAUUAAGAAGUGCAGAAACUGGCAGGGAGGACGAGGUGGGAGCCAGAACACCCACAGUCAGCACGUCUCCCACUCCUCCUCCUCCUCCUCCUCCUCCUCCUCCUCUUCUUCAUUG
rnacentral:miRNA from 1 species